rnacentral:lncRNA from 1 species
UCGGACCCUAACGAAUCUCGGUUUCACAGAACUGUUAAGAAGUGCUACAUCACGGGGUUAAUGUGCAAACCGUUUCUCGAUUGAGUUGGUGCAACCAUUUAAAAAUACCAACUGGCGACUCUUACAGUCCAAUCGUCGACAUAUACAUGUCGGACCUUUUCACAACUUGUUUUUUCAAACAAAUCUCACCUAACAUGAGAACACCAAAAGACAAGAACAGAAAAGGGACAAUAAAAAUCCCGACGUCGAUAGGUGGCGACUCUGCUGGGGACAUCCAGUAAGAG